AAUCUCUAUUCGCCACUCGUUUUGGCAGAAUGCCCGUCCGCCCACCACGUGCACCGAUACCAAACAUUUGUCCGUUGACAUAUGAUUGUCCAUUUAGCAGCCAACUAUGUUCGAUGUUGUUAAGGACAUGUACUCCUAUCUACCACCGACCGAUUGGUAUCCAAACGUGCGACUGUGGUUUCUCGCCAGGUCUUGGAAGUGCUGGUCGCAGAAGAGACCAAGAUUUGCUGUAAAGACAAACGUUUGAGA